UAGGGAAUCUUCCGCAAUGGACGAAAGUCUGACGGAGCAACGCCGCGUGAGUGAAGAAGGAUUUCGGUUCGUAAAACUCUGUUGUUAGGGAAGAAAAAAUGUAUAGUAACUAUAUACAAAAGAGACGGUACCUAACCAGAAAGCCACGGCUAACUACGUGCCAGCAGCCGCGGUAAUACGUAGGUGGCAAGCGUUGUCCGGAAUUAUAGGGCGUAAAGCGCGCGCAGGUGGUUUAGAAAGUCUGAUGUGAAAGCCCACGGCUCAACCGUGGAGGGUCAUUGGAAACUAAUAAACUUGAGUGCAGGAGUGAAAAGUGGAAUUCCUAGUGUAGCGGUGAAAUGCGUAGAGAUUAGGAGGAACACCGGUGGCGAAAGCGGCUUUUUGGCCUGCAACUGACACUGAGGCGCGAAAGCGUGGGGAGCAAACAGG
rnacentral:rRNA from 1 species